AUGAUUCAAUCUUUUGUCUUACAAUUUCUAAAAAAUCAAAAUAUUUAAAUCAAAUAAAAGAAAUAUUGUGAAGUAAAUUCAAGGGUUUUAAAUUUUAAAAGUAGAAAACAUA
rnacentral:tRNA from 1 species